rnacentral:misc_RNA from 1 species
AACCUUAUGGACCUGCGGGCGUAUACCUGCGGAAGGAUCAUUACCGAGUUUACAACUCCCAAACCCCUGUGAACAUACCUAUACGUUGCCUCGGCGGAUCAGCCCGCGCCCCGUAAAAAGGGACGGCCCGCCCGAGGACCCCUAAACUCUGUUUUUAGUGGAACUUCUGAGUAAAACAAACAAAUAAAUCAAAACUUUUAACAACGGAUCU